AAAAAUUUAGUUAAAAAAUAACGUCAGUUUGUCAAACUGGAAUCAUUAUCAAAUAAUAAUUUUUA
rnacentral:tRNA from 1 species